CGUGCAUCCGUCUGGCCAUGAGAACUUGGUUGCGCUCACAUGAGGAUCCUGAGCAGAGUCGCAGUGCACGCUCUGCGGGGAGCCGGAAGUACUGUGAGCUCCUCAGAAUAAAACCAAAUGAUAUCGUAAUUAUUAUCAUCUACAAUCCCCCCUGGACUGCACUUUUAAAGGAGGUCAAGAAUGGAUCUGAAGCAACUUUCUUAUAUGCUGAUUCAAUGCUAGCAUGGAAACAGUCAAGCAACUCUGAGAUCUGAAGCACCUUCGUUCUGGGAAGAAAGGGUGGAAGUGAAGAAGGGAGAGGGGUGGUGAGAGAAAGGAAGGAAAGAGCUGGAGGAAAAGUGGCGAGGAGGAGGAGGAAAGGCACCGUGCAUCCACAGGCUGUCAAGAACCGGCCGGUAGAAGUCUGGGCUCUUUCCCUCGUCUUUACAGACGUCCGUUAUGAGGACGUUCCAGUGUGCCACUGAAACACACGCAACUCUGUGCCGGAAGCCUUUCCCAGCACAGGAAGGACUUUGGCUGGGGUCUGGGCUUGGCACAACUGGUUCAGACUAGUCACAGGGGCCUGGACACCAGCAGCCUCUGUGGCUUCUGCACCUCCGAUGCAUCUGGAACAGGCUGGGGCCCCUCAAGGAACGUGUCUUGCUUCUGUUGAGCCACUCUUUUCUCACCCCUAAAUAAGACAGAUGCAUUCAGUGACCUCUCAGCUUACUAGUGAAAGCAGUGGGCUCCUCUCACCCUCUUUUAAUAAACUACUUAAGAGCUGUUGUUCAU
rnacentral:lncRNA from 1 species